rnacentral:rRNA from 1 species
UAGCUAGUUGGUGAGGUAACGGCCCACCAAGGCAACGAUCGGUAGCCGGACUGAGAGGUUGAACGGCCACAUUGGGACUGAGACACGGCCCAGACUCCUACGGGAGGCAGCAGUGGGGAAUAUUGCACAAUGGGGGAAACCCUGAUGCAGCGACGCCGCGUGGAGGAAGAAGGUCUUCGGGUUGUAAACUCCUGUUGUUGAGGAAGAUAAUGACGGUACUCAACAAGGAAGUGACGGCUAACUACGUGCCAGCAGCCGCGGUAAAACGUAGGUCACAAGCGUUGUCCGGACUUACUGGGUGUAAAGGGAGCGCAGGCGGGAAGACAAGUUGGAAGUGAAAUCCAUGGGCUCAACCCAUGAACUGCUUUCAAAACUGUUUUUCUUGAGUAGUGCAGAGGUAGGCGGAAUUCCCGGUGUAGCGGUGGAAUGCGUAGAUAUCGGGAGGAACACCAGUGGCGAAGGCGGCCUACUGGGCACCAACUGACGCUGAGGCUCGAAAGUGUGGGUAGCAAACAGGAUUAGAUACCCUGGUAGUCCACACCGUAAACGAUGAUUACUAGGUGUUGGAGGAUUGACCCCUUCAGUGCCGCAGUUAACACAAUAAGUAAUCCACCUGGGGAGUACGACCGCAAGGUUGAAACUCAAAGGAAUUGACGGGGGCCCGCACGAGCAGUGGAGUAUGUGGUUUAAUUCGACGCAACGCGAAGAACCUUACCAAGUCUUGACAUCCUGCGACGAUGCUGGAAACAGUAUUUUCCUUCGGGACGCAGAGACAGGUGGUGCAUGGUUGUCGUCAGCUCGUGUCGUGAGAUGUUGGGUUAAGCCCCGCAACGAGCGCAACCCUUAUGGUCAGUUACUACGCAAGAGGACUCUGGCCAGACUGCCGUUGACAAAACGGAGGAAGGUGGGGAUGACGUCAAAUCAUCAUGCCCUUUAUGACUUGGGCUACACACGUACUACAAUGGCGUUAAACAAAGAGAAGCAAGACCGCGAGGUGGAGCAAAACUCAGAAACAACGUCCCAGUUCGGACUGCAGGCUGCAACUCGCCUGCACGAAGUCGGAAUUGCUAGUAAUCGUGGAUCAGCAUGCCACGGUGAAUACGUUCCCGGGCCUUGUACACACCGCCCGUCACACCAUGAGAGCCGGGGGGACCCGAAGUCGGUAGUCUAACCGCAAGGAGGACGCCGCCGAAGGUAAAACUGGUGAUUGGGGUGAAGUCGUAACAAGGUAA